rnacentral:lncRNA from 1 species
CUCUUCCACUACAGCUUUUCAAGCAUGAGAGUCCGAGGAAGUCUACUCCAGACUGGUUUUCACAUCUAUACUGAAGUGAAGUGAAGGUAAAUUGUUUUCAGUUCUCUGUACAAGAACUGAACAUGCUCUAGGCUACUGUCUUGC